rnacentral:rRNA from 1 species
AGGAUGAACGCUGGCGGUCUGCUUAACACAUGCAAGUCGAACGGGCGUAGCAAUACGUUAGUGGCGGACGGGUGAGUAACGCGUGAGAAUCUACCUUCAGGACGGAGACAACAGUUGGAAACGACUGCUAACCCCCGAUGUACUGAAAAGGCAAAUAUUUAUAGCCUGAAGAAGAGCUCGCGUCCGAUUAGCUAGUUGGAGAGGUAAAAGCUCACCAAGGCGACGAUCGGUAGCUGGUCUGAGAGGACGAUCAGCCACACUGGGACUGAGACACGGCCCAGACUCCUACGGGAGGCAGCAGUGGGAAUUUUCCGCAAUGGGCGAAAGCCUGACGGAGCAAGACCGCGUGGGGAAGAAGGCUCUUGGGUUGUAAACCCCUUUUCUCUUGGGAAGAACGCAAUGACGGUACCAGAGGAAUCAGCAUCGGCUAACUCCGUGCCAGCAGCCGC